UGCAGUCGACGAUGAACCUGGAGCUUGCUCUGGGGGAUUAGUGGCGAACGGGUGAGUAACACGUGAGCAACCUGCCCCUCACUCUGGGAUAAGCGCUGGAAACGGCGUCUAAUACUGGAUACGAGUUGGAGCCGCAUGGUUACCAACUGGAAAGAUUUUUUGGUGGGGGAUGGGCUCGCGGCCUAUCAGCUUGUUGGUGAGGUAAUGGCUCACCAAGGCGUCGACGGGUAGCCGGCCUGAGAGGGUGACCGGCCACACUGGGACUGAGACACGGCCCAGACUCCUACGGGAGGCAGCAGUGGGGAAUAUUGCACAAUGGGCGGAAGCCUGAUGCAGCAACGCCGCGUGAGGGAUGACGGCCUUCGGGUUGUAAACCUCUUUUAGCAGGGAAGAAGCGAAAGUGACGGUACCUGCAGAAAAAGCACCGGCUAACUACGUGCCAGCAGCCGCGGUAAUACGUAGGGUGCAAGCGUUAUCCGGAAUUAUUGGGCGUAAAGAGCUCGUAGGCGGUUUGUCGCGUCUGCUGUGAAAUCCCGAGGCUCAACCUCGGGCCUGCAGUGGGUACGGGCAGACUAGAGUGCGGUAGGGGAGAUUGGAAUUCCUGGUGUAGCGGUGGAAUGCG
rnacentral:rRNA from 1 species